rnacentral:lncRNA from 1 species
CUCAUAGCAGGCAUGCUUGCUAUGUUUAUUUAGAUUUAUGCAACUGUGUCUGAAAACCCUGUCACUUAAUGAUUUUGUUGAAUUAAUCUGGUAGAGCUUUCACCGAAUAAUACACACUUUUUUGCAUCUCAACAAGCAUUCAGUUUUCUCAAGUUGUACAUUUUAUUUAACUCCUCCACUAAGACUCCACAGUUUCCUGGCAUCCUUCAUAUACCUUCUCUUUUGGUUAUCUCUUUUGCAGUGCACCAUGUAGAUAGAAGCAUCCACCAGACUUUGGGCUGAUUUGUUCAGUCAUUUCUCUUAGAUGAAUGCCUGUCACUUUGGGGUGAGAGUGUUUAUGUUCUUGUGGAGAACAGCCAAGAAUAUUGCAGAAAACACAAGCUCAGUGCUAAGCUCAAGAUGACUGAAUGUCUGAGGAAGGUGUACAAGUUAGCCAUGGACCUAAGCAAUCAAUGGGGACUCCAAGCAAUUUACAGCGCACACUAUGCUAAGCACCAUACUGGUUUACAGAAUGACAAGCAUCAACUUUUCACAGAAGAGUGCAAAUUUAUCUUGAUUUGCCUAACUCUGAAGUACUCAAUUACAAGGAAAGCUGCCAUUCUGCACCCUUGGCUGCAUCCUCAUGGACAGGUCUGUAUUGCUGGCUUUCUUCCACUUAAGUUUGUUGCUCUGCAAAGACUGUACUCUGUAGAUAUUACAGGAACCAAAAUAUCUAAUUACUUCAUGUGUGUCAUAUCUUUGUAGUCUGCAGGAAGAAGACAAAGCUACUUUUUUUUGGAUGCUAAUUAUAUACAUAUACACAGACAGAAACUGUCAAUAAAGCAUGAGGAAGAUGUAACA